rnacentral:rRNA from 1 species
UACGUAGGGGGCAAGCGUUAUCCGGAUUUACUGGGUGUAAAGGGAGCGUAGGCGGUGCAGCAAGUCAGAAGUGAAAGCCCGGGGCUCAACUCCGGGACUGCUUUUGAAACUGUUGAAUUAGAUUGCAGGAGAGGUAAGUGGAAUUCCUAGUGUAGCGGUGAAAUGCGUAGAUAUUAGGAGGAACACCAGUGGCGAAGGCGGCUUACUGGACUGUAAAUGACGCUGAGGCUCGAAAGCGUGGGGAGCAAACAGG